UGGCCCAGAUCGUUUACCGUGAAAAAAUUAGAGUGUUCAAAGCAGGCAGAUCCAAUUUUCUGCCACCGAAUACAUUAGCAUGGGAUAAUGGAAUAGGACCCUGUCCUCCUAUUUUCAGUUGGUUUUGGCAGCGCGAGGACUAGGGUAAUGAUUAAUAGGGAUAGUUGGGGGCAUUAAUAUUUAAUUGUCAGAGGUGAAAUUCUUGGAUUUAUGAAAGAUUAACUUCUGCGAAAGCAUCUGCCAAGGAUGUUUUCAUUAAUCAAGAACGAAAGUUAGGGGAUCGAAGACGAUCAGAUACCGUCGUAGUCUUAACCAUAAACGAUGCCGACCAGCGAUUAGGAGACGUUGAAUACAAAACUCCACCAUCGGUUGCGGUCGUCCUUGGCGUCUCGGUUUCGGCCGGGGCGCGGGACGGUUAGCCCCGUUWMCCCCMG
rnacentral:rRNA from 1 species